CCUACGGGUGGCUGCAGUGGGGAAUAUUGCGCAAUGGGGGAAACCCUGAUGCAGCGACGCCGCGUGAGUGAGGAAGUAUUUCGGUAUGUAAAGCUCUAUCAGCGGGGACGAAAAUGACGGUAACUGGCUAAGAAGCCCCGGCUAACUACGUGCCAGCAGCCGCGGGAAUACGUAGGGGGCAAGCGUUAGCCGGAUUUACUGGGUGUAAAGGGAGGGUAGCCGGCUAAUCAAGUCAGAAGUGAAAACCCAGGGCUUAACCCUGGGACUGCUUUUGAAACUGAGUAGCUAGAGUGCAGGAGAGGCAAGCGGAAUUCCCAGUGUAGCGGUGAAAUGCGUAGAUAUUAGGAGGAACACCAGUGGCGAAGGCGGCUUACUGGACUGUAACUGACGUUGAGGCGCGAAAGCGUGGGGAGCAAACAGGAUUAGAUACCCUUGUAGUC
rnacentral:rRNA from 1 species